GACGAACGCUGGCGGCGUGCCUAACACAUGCAAGUCGAGCGAUGAAAUCCCUUCGGGGAUGGAUUAGCGGCGGACGGGUGAGUAACACGUGGGUAACCUGCCUCAAAGAGGGGGAUAGCCUCCCGAAAGGGAGAUUAAUACCGCAUAACAUUGGUUUUUCGCAUGAAGAACUAAUUAAAGGAGCAAUCCGCUUUGAGAUGGACCCGCGGCGCAUUAGCUAGUUGGUGAGGUAACGGCUCACCAAGGCGACGAUGCGUAGCCGACCUGAGAGGGUGAUCGGCCACAUUGGAACUGAGACACGGUCCAGACUCCUACGGGAGGCAGCAGUGGGGAAUAUUGCACAAUGGGCGAAAGCCUGAUGCAGCAACGCCGCGUGAGUGAUGAAGGCCUUCGGGUUGUAAAGCUCUGUCUUUGGGGACGAUAAUGACGGUACCCAAGGAGGAAGCCACGGCUAACUACGUGCCAGCCGCCGCCGUAAAAC
rnacentral:rRNA from 1 species